GAUUGUUCACCCACCAAUAGGGAACGUGAGCUGGGUUUAGACCGUCGUGAGACAGGUUAGUUUUACCCCACUGAUGACAGUGUCGCAAUAGUGAUUCAACCUAGUACGAGAGGAACCGUUGAUUCGCACAAUUGGUCAUCGCGCUUGGUUGAAAAGCUAGUGGCGCGAAGCUACCGUGCGCUGGAUUAUGACUGAACGCCUCUAAGUGAGAAUCCAGGCUAGAAGCGACGCAUGCGCCCGCUGCCUUGAAGUACAAUUUCUAUCUCGAGCGGCGGGUAGAAUCCUUUGCAGACGACUUAAAUACGCGACGGGGUAUUGUAAGUGGCAAAGUGGCCUUGCUGCCACGAUCCACUGAGAU
rnacentral:rRNA from 1 species